CACACACACACACACACGUACGUUAUUAGCGGAUGUUUGUAACUUCAUGUCCCUGUGGCCUGAUACUCUUUCACUCUGAUAGUGUUCAGACUGGAAUGUGUGUAUUCCCCUGAAGUCAUUUUGAUGCUCUGCACCACCACAGAGACACUAAGACCAGGCAGACAGCAGUGAGAAUAGACAGUAGGGGAGAUAAGAGGAGAGACAGUAGGGGAGAUAAGAGAAGAGACAGUAGGGGAAAUAAGAGGAGAGACAGUAGGGGAGAUAAGAGGAGAGACAGUAGGGGAGAUAAGAGAAGAGACAGUAGGGGAAAUAAGAGGAGAGACAGUAGGGGAGAUAAGAGAAGAGACAGUAGGGGAGAUAAGAGAAGAGACAGUAGAGGAAAUAAGAGGAGAGACAGUAGGGGAGAUAAGAGAAGAGACAGUAGGGGAAAUAAGAGGAGAGACAGUAGGGGAAAUAAGAGGAGAGACAGUAGGGGAGAUAAGAGGAGAGACAGUAGGGGAGAUAAGAGGAGAGACAGUAGGGGAGAUAAGAGGAGAGACAGUAGGGGAGAUAAGAGGAGAGACAGUAGGGGAGAUAAGAGGAGAGACAGUAGGGGAGAUAAGAGAAGAGACAGUAGGGGAGAUAAGAGGAGAGACAGUAGAGGAUGUCUGACGAUGAUGUGAAAAACAGAUCAAACCACUUCCCAUUUAACUGGAGGAAAGCAACCAGCCAACCAGAGACCAGACACUAGCAGCAACCAGCCAACCAGAGACCAGACACUAGCAGCAACCAGCCAACCAGAGACCAGACACUAGCAGCAACCAGCCAACCAGAGACCAGACACUAGCAGCAACCAGCUACAAGCAGAUAGUCCCUUUUCAUGUUCAAGAUGACUGUUUCCCACAUAGCAGAUACAAACAGAAAUCCAUGAGUAUGACACAAAAGAGUGAGGGUUAUGGUUACAGUACAGCCUGUACCAGACCAGAACAUGUUGAGGUGGUUUGGCUGAAGGUACAGUACAGCCUGUACCAGACCAGAACAUGCUGAGGUAGUUUGGCUGAAGGUAUAGUACAGCCUGUACCAGACCAGAACAUGUUGAGGUGGUUUGGCUGAAGGUAUAGUACAGCCUGUACCAGACCAGAACAUGUUGAGGUAGUUUGGCUGAAGGUACAGUACAGCCUGUACCAGACCAGAACAUGCUGAGGUAGUUUGGCUGAAGGUAUAGUACAGCCUGUACCAGACCAGAACAUGUUGAGGUAGUUUGGCUGAAGGUAUAGUACAGCCUGUACCAGACCAGAACAUGCUGAGGUGGUUUGGCUGAAGGUAUAGUACAGCCUGUACCAGACCAGAACAUGUUGAGGUAGUUUGGCUGAAGGUACAGUACAGCCUGUACCAGACCAGAACAUGUUGAGGUGGUUUGGCUGAAGGUAUAGUACAGCCUGUACCAGACCAGAACAUGUUGAGGUGGUUUGGAUGAAGGUACAGGAUAGAGGAAGCUUACUUCAGUCUUCACUAAAACCACAAUCUCAAGUGCAUUGUUUUCCCCCAUAGACUUGUAUAAUGGCUGGUUUCCCCCAGAGACUUGUAUAUGGGGGAAACCAGUGAUUGCCAACAAGGGUUUUGCAAGUGCUAAGUCAUGUUUUGCAGAGGUGUCAAAUACUUAUUUCCCUCAUUAAAAUGCAAAUCAAUUUAUAACAUUUUUGACAUGUGUUUUUCUGGAUAUUUUUGUUGUUAUUCUGUCUCUCACUGUUCAAAUAAACCUACCAUUAAAAUUA
rnacentral:lncRNA from 1 species